rnacentral:misc_RNA from 1 species
GAUGAAGAACGUAGCGAAAUGCGAUAAGUAAUGUGAAUUGCAGAAUUCAGUGAAUCAUCGAAUCUUUGAACGCACAUUGUGCCCGUCAGUAUUCUGGCGGGCAUGCCUGUUCGAGCGUCAUUACGCCCCUCAAGUCCCCUGUGGACUUGGUGUUGGGGAUCGGCGAGGCUGGUUUUCCAGCACAGCCGUCCCUUAAAUUAAUUGGCGGUCUCGCCGUGGCCCUCCUCUGCGCAGUAGUAAAACACUCGCAACAGGAGCCCGGCGCGGUCCACUGCCGUAAAACCCCCCAACUUUUUAUAGUUGACCUCGAAUCAGGUAGGACUACCCGCUGAACUUACGCAUAUCAAUAAGCGGAGGA